rnacentral:rRNA from 1 species
CCUACGGGAGGCAGCAGUGAGGAAUAUUGGUCAAUGGGCGCGAGCCUGAACCAGCCAAGUAGCGUGAAGGAUGACUGCCUUACGGGUUGUAAACUUUUUCUAUAAAGGAAUAAAGUGAGGCACGUGUGCCUUUUUGUAUGUACUUUAUGAAUAAGGAUCGGCUAACUCCGUGCCAGCCGCCGCGGUAAUACGGAGGAUCCGAGCGUUAUCCGGAUUUAUUGGGUUUAAAGUGAGCGUAGAUGGGUUGUUAAGUCAGUUGUGAAAGUUUACGGCUCAACCGUAAAAUUGCAAUUGAUACUGGCAGUCUUGAGUACAGUUGAGGUAGGCAGAAUUCGUGGUGUAGCGGUGAAAUGCGUAGAUAUCACGAAGAACACCGAUUGCGAAGGCAGCUAACUAAACUGACACUGACAUUGAUGCUCGAAAGUGUGGGUAGCAAACAGGAUUAGAUACCCUAGUAGUC